GCCUCCAGUGUAAUUGUUUUACAAAUUGCUUGCUGGGUCUAUUGGUGGGUCUUGCUUUUAACAUAUGCUUUGCUUUUUUCUGUUUUACACUUUAAUAUUUUGAAAUGUCUUUUGCUUGAGUUGCUCCCUUUAAUCUGUGGACAAUUUAACGGAUAAUUUAGGGAUCUGUGUCCCAGCCAUUGUUUACAGAUGUACAGGCUGGGUUUAGAUGUUUCCCUUAAUCUGUUAUACUGCCAGUCUUAAUGAAGUAUAGAUUGAUUAUGAUUUUCAAGAAACAGUGCCAGAGGCCAUAUCCCUUUUAGAAAGGAAAGCCAUUGAAAGUUCUUAUGCUGCCCUUCAGCUCUGAAGGUUAUUUCAUAACCAGUUGAAAAACUUCAGUCAAAACCUGGUGCCAGAUAAGAAGUGAUGCCUUGGCCUGGCACUGACAAGUGUAUACCAUUGACUUCCCUGUUUAAGGCUCCUCUCCUUUGAAAAGAUUGCCAGUGCAAAGCUUGCUUCAUGUGGACAAACAACCAAUGAUGUAAGAAAUCUGGUUGCUAUAAGCUCUUCUGAGGUGUUAAACUGUGGUUCAUGUGUAAACUCAACGUUUGAGAAGUCCAGAAGAAAGCCAGAAUUUCUGCUUUAGUGGGGAUUUCUAUAGGAAAAUAAAUCUUUUGCUUCCUGUGCUGAAUCAAGAACAUUUACUGGACUUGGGAUGUGCUCACUAAGCUGCAGCAGUUGAGCUCUACCAUUUAAGACAUUAAUGUACCUAAACUGACCCUCAGGAUCUGUGUUCACUUUCUAAGCUUUUCAGUAAUUAAAACAUGUCCUGAAAUGCAA